CCGUAGGGUCUAAUACCGGAUACGACCAGUCCUCGCAUGGGGUGCUGGUGGAAAGAUUUAUCGGUCUUGGAUGGACUCGCGGCCUAUCAGCUUGUUGGUGAGGUAAUGGCUCACCAAGGCGAUGACGGGUAGCCGGCCUGAGAGGGUGACCGGCCACACUGGGACUGAGACACGGCCCAGACUCCUACGGGAGGCAGCAGUGGGGAAUAUUGCACAAUGGGCGAAAGCCUGAUGCAGCGACGCCGCGUGCGGGAUGACGGCCUUCGGGUUGUAAACCGCUUUCAGCAGGGAAGAAGCGAAAGUGACGGUACCUGCAGAAGAAGCGCCGGCUAACUACGUGCCAGCAGCCGCGGUAAUACGGAAGAUGCGAGCGUUAUCCGGAUUUAUUGGGUUUAAAGGGGGCGUAGGCCGGCGGUUAAGUCAGCGGUCAAAUUGGGUGGCUCAACCAUCCCCCGCCGUUGAUACUGGCCGCCUUGAGUGUAUUCAAGGCAGAUGGAAUUCGUGGUGUAGCGGUGAAAUGCUUAGAUAUCACGAAGAAC
rnacentral:rRNA from 1 species